rnacentral:rRNA from 1 species
CAAUAGCGUAUAUUAAAGUUGUUGCAGUUAAAACGCUCGUAGUUGAACAUCUGCCCUUUUCCGGUUAGGUCCGCUCUGCGUGCACCUUCCGAAAUCGGCAUCCGUCUGCGUUGCUUCGCAUUGCAGACCGUUCACUUUGAGGAAAUUAGAGUGUUCAAAGCAGGCUUACGCCUUGAAUACUUCAGCAUGGAAUGAUUGAUAGGACUUCUAUCCUAUCUUGGUUCUAGGGACAGAAGUAAUGGUAAGACAGAAGUAAUGGUAAACAGGGUUGGUUGGGGGCAUUCGUACUGAACAGUCAGAGGUGAAAUUCUUAGAUUUGUUCAAGACGAACAACUGCGAAAGCAUUUGCCAAGGACGACCNCAUUAA